AUUGAACGCUGGCGGCAUGCCUUACACAUGCAAGUCGAACGGCAGCACGGGAGCAAUCCUGGUGGCGAGUGGCGAACGGGUGAGUAAUAUAUCGGAACGUGCCCAGUAGUGGGGGAUAGCCCGGCGAAAGCCGGAUUAAUACCGCAUACGACCUGAGGGUGAAAGCGGGGGAUCGCAAGACCUCGCGCUAUUGGAGCGGCCGAUAUCAGAUUAGCUAGUUGGUGGGUAAAGGCCUACCAAGGCUACGAUCUGUAGUUGGUCUGAGAGGACGACCAGCCACACUGGGACUGAGACACGGCCCAGACUCCUACGGGAGGCAGCAGUGGGGAAUUUUGGACAAUGGGCGCAAGCCUGAUCCAGCAAAUGCCGCGUGCAGGAAGAAGGCCUCGGUUGUAACGUAGCUUUGUUCUAGGGAAGGAA
rnacentral:rRNA from 1 species